AGGGCGCGAGCGUUGUCCGGAAUUAUUGGGCGUAAAGGGCUUGUAGGCGGCUUGUCGCGUCUGCCGUGAAAUCCUGGGGCUUAACCUUGGGCGUGCGGUGGGUACGGGCUGGCUUGAGUGCGGUAGGGGAGACUGGAAUUCCUGGUGUAGCGGUGGAAUGCGCAGAUAUCAGGAGGAACACCGGUGGCGAAGGCGGGUCUCUGGGCCGUUACUGACGCUGAGGAGCGAAAGCGUGGGGAGCGAA
rnacentral:rRNA from 1 species